GGGGAUGACAGGCAUCGACGGUUUGCCUCGAUCCUCUGCGCAAUGCCGAAAUUGGAAUCAAUUCGUUAAAAGGUUCCGUCUGUAUCUGCAAACAAAGCAAUACCAAGUCCGUUCUCAUACGGAUUCGCCUUCGCUCGAGCGUAAGUUCGCGUAGGUGACGCUGCCCUUCCUGAUGUCUAAUACGGUAGUGUAGUGGAAUAGCCAUUAGACUAUGGAUAAUUAGUUUGUUCCUCUAAUUAUCUAAAUUGUAAGGAACUGCUCGCGAUAAGAUUUUGCCGACUUUUCCACUUAUCGCGCUAAGAUUUAAAGCCGGAUACGCAUUGUAGACCCAGGUGAUCGACCAUUCUCGGACGGCGGUUCAAUUCCGCCCAUCUCCAC
rnacentral:tmRNA from 1 species